rnacentral:rRNA from 1 species
GGCGGUUUGUCGCGUCUGCUGUGAAAACGCAAGGCUUAACCUUGCGCCUGCAGUGGGUACGGGCAGACUAGAGUGCGGUAGGGGAGACUGGAAUUCCUGGUGUAGCGGUGGAAUGCGCAGAUAUCAGGAGGAACACCGAUGGCGAAGGCAGGUCUCUGGGCCGUUACUGACGCUGAGGAGCGAAAGCAUGGGGAGCGAACAGGAUUAGAUACCCUGGUAGUCCAUGCCGUAAACGUUGGGCACUAGGUGUGGGGUCCAUUCCACGGAUUCCGCGCCGCAGCUAACGCAUUAAGUGCCCCGCCUGGGGAGUACGGCCGCAAGGGCUAAAACUCAAAGGAAUUGACGGGGGCCCGCACAAGCGGCGGAGCAUGCGGAUUAAUUCGAUGCAACGCGAAGAACCUUACCAAGGCUUGACAUACACCGGAAGCGUGCAGAGAUGUGCGUGCCUUACGGCUGGUGUACAGGUGGUGCAUGGUUGUCGUCAGCUCGUGUCGUGAGAUGUUGGGUUAAGUCCCGCAACGAGCGCAACCCUUGUCCUAUGUUGCCAGCGGGUUAUGCCGGGGACUCAUAGGAGACUGCCGGGGUCAACUCGGAGGAAGGUGGGGAUGACGUCAAAUCAUCAUGCCCCUUAUGUCUUGGGCUUCACGCAUGCUACAAUGGCCGGUACAAUGGGUCGCGAUACCGUGAGGUGGAGCGAAUCCCAAAAAGCCGGUCUCAGUUCGGAUUGGGGUCUGCAACUCGACCCCA